GUACACUGCUGGGCAGGUCAAUCUGAAAACUCCCUCCAUGCUGGUACACUGCUGGGCAGGUCAAUCUGAAAACUCCCUCCAUGCUGGUACACUGCUGGGCAGAUCAAUCUGAAAACUCCCUCCAUGCUGGUACACUGCUGGGCAGAUCAAUCUGAAAACUCCCUCCAUACUGGUACACUGCUGGGCAGAUCAAUCUGAAAACUCCCUCCAUACUGGUACACUGCUGGGCAGGUCAAUCUGAAAACUCCCUCCAUACUGGUACACUGCUGGACAGAUCAAUCUGAAAACUCCCUCCAUGCUGGUACACUGCUGGACAGAUCAAUCUGAAAACUCCCUCCAUGCUGGUACACUGCUGGACAGGUCAAUCUGAAAACUCCCUCCAUG
rnacentral:lncRNA from 1 species